UAAGGGGCUCACAGCUGCUGGGCUGUGAACAAGCUGGACUUGGCUGUCUCACAACUGAAGAGGCAUUGAAGGGCAGGCUGGCGAUCCAGGCAAAGGGAACUGGGAGGAUUUCUUCCACUGGGACUGUCCCAAGAAAACCCUGGACCAACCCUGUCUCAGGCGGGUCAGAGCUCCAAGAUGGCUCAGCAGGAAAAGGUGUCUAUCACCAAGACUGACAGCUCAACCUGGGGCUCAGGCUGUAGAAGGAGAAAGCUGACUCUUGAAAGUUGUCCUGUGACAUAUAGCAUCACACACACACACACACACACACACACACACACCCGCGCAGCUGACUCUUGAAAGUUGUCCUGUGACAUAUAGCAUCACACACACACACACCCGCGCCUAGGCUCUUUAACCACAGAGAUAGAAACAAGGCCGGAGGGUGGGGUACCUCCUCUGUGUUCAUGUCUUCUCAGUGGCUCUGACCCUGCUCUGUACUCUUCUAUCUGGUCUCGGUCUUUUAACAUUCACUUCUGCUGUGUCACUUUCCUGGCCAGACAACUUUAGGGACCCUCCACCCCCUCCCCCAGCCCCUAUUCUGAGGAAUAGAUUCCAGCUCCCACACCUUCCAUG
rnacentral:lncRNA from 1 species